UGGAGCUAUAAAUGUCCCUGUCUCCAAGAUACAAAAUGCUAUCUUGAUAUUUCUUCUGCCCACGGUCAUCUCUGCAUGCCAGUUAGAAACCACAGAAGCACCAUAAAGACAAGUUUUACAGAAAAAUAGUAUAUUAGGUGUGGAGGAAGGCACAAAACCACUGCCAGGAUGUAAAUAUUUCCCUCUAGAGCUGUUCAGGAGUUCUGGUGAUGGAGGUGAUUCAAGAAAUGCUCAGGAACCAGGGAAAAUGAUAUGCUUUGAUUUUGGAGACUGCAAUUACCAAACAUCUAUCUCAUUCCAAAUGGAGACUGGGAGGAGAAUGUAGAAAACAAAGAACCACUUAAAAACUGAGCAUGUUUUGUCCGUGUUUAAAUAAACACAGAGUAUUAAGAAGUUAUUAAGGUCAGUGCAGUUGUUUGGUGCAUGUGGAAAAUGACUUCUGUGUACAUUAUCCUGUGAUGAAAGAAGAAAUCAACUGCAUAGCACUAUUUUACCUCUUUCCAUCAGCUUCUCUGAUUUAACUCACUGGGUCAUGAAGAGUUGAGGCUUUUAGAAAACACAGACUGUGUGGACCAAGAAGGGCAGCAGCCACAGACAUUAGAGGAGCUGGGUGGCAGGGGUCAACCUUUUCUUAAAGGAAGCAAAAGGCCCAUAAAAAGUGUAGGCAGACAAGACAAACAGAAACUGUGUCUGGUGACUCACUAACAGGAAGAGAACAUUCUUUC